GUGGACCUGCGUGUGUGAGGAAACCUCGCCAGGGAAUCACAAAUCGAAACCGCAUCAACGAACCAUGAUCGCCACACGAAGAAUCACAAGAUACAUAUAUCACUAACAUUAAUUGGCUACUGACUAAAUCAUAACACACGCAAAAAAACAGUUAUAUACAGCAUAAGGAAAAACAAAUCAUCAUGUGAAUCUCAUCCUUGACAUAUGUACAGCAGAGGCCUUGAUGUGUCAAGAACCCUUGACACAUCAAAAGUUGCAAACACUUUGAUGCGAAUCUCAUCAUUCUAUCGUCAAGUAAAUAGCUGCAAACAAUCUGAUCCGUGAAGAAGAGUUUUUUACAAAAUAUGGCACAUACAAGAAUCUUGUAGGAAUCACUGAUAUGGACAAGAUCAGAGCUAAUUUAGCACUUGAGGGCCUAUAAAACUGAAACAUGUUUCUCUGAUGCCUUUUUUAGGUGAUAGAAACAAGAAAAGGCAUUGCAAGUAUAGUAGAGCAGAGCAAGGCAGAGGAGGGAACCGGUGGCUUACCAUCUUGCCGGAGUAGAAGAAGAACAGGGGCGAAACUGUCGCAAGCAGCAGGCAUCACAAUUUGCAUGUGUGAAUGACAGACAUGAACUCGUGCAGCCGUACCCGCAGAUGUAACCGGCACACAAAGAAUCGCAAGAUACAUAUCUCAAUAACCUUGCUUGGCUGCUCUCUAAAUCAUAAAUAAAACACAGAAAAUUUGAGUGUGAGUCUCACGUCGCAUUUGUUCAGAGCUGACUUUUUUAGGUUAUAAAAAAUCAUUGAAAAACUGAAACUUGUACAAGAACAGUGGAGCAGAGUAGAGCAGGUAGGGAACCAGUGGCUUACCAGAUUGCCAGAGUGGAAGAAGAAUCCCCCCGCACGCACCACACGCAGCCGGCUCUGUCGUGCACCUGCGUGUGUGAGGGAACCUCGUCAGGGAAUCACAAAUCUAAACCGCAUCUGGGAACCAUGACCGGCACACGAAGAAAGAAUCACAAGAUACAUAUUAUCACUGACAUUGAUUGGCUACUGACUAAAUCAUAAAACACAAAAAGUAAUUCAGUUGUAUACAGUACAGCAUAAGGCCCAAACAAAACAAAUUAUCAUGUGAAUCUCAUCCUUGACACAUGUACAACAGAGGCUUUGAUGUCAUGACAAGUUGCAAACACUUUCGCAUCCUUGUCUCAUCAAGUAAAUAGCUGCAAACACAUUGAUGUGUCAAGAACAGUUUUUUUCACAAAAUUUCGCACAUACAAGAAGUCAAGAACCCUUGUAGGAAUAGCUGGUAUAUACAAGAGCAGGGCUAAUUUAGCACUUGUUGAGAAGCUAUAAAAACUGAAAGCCUACAGAACUGAAACGUGUUUCUCUGGUUCAGACCGGCCCUUUUUAGGUGAUAUAGAAACUUGAAAGAUAUUGCAAGUAGAGUGGAGUAGAGGAGGGAACCGGUGGCUUACCAUCGUGCUGGAGUGGAAGAAGAACAGGGGCGCCGGAGGAGAGGCCAUCAGGGUGGAAGAACGGGAGUCCCCACGGUCGGUGUUGUGUUGUUGUGGAGAAGGAGCCGACCGUCGGUGUCGUCUCACGGCAACUCCUCCUGGUGGUCCGCCUCCGUCGUCAGACGAGACCCCCAUCAGUGCGUCCGUCCAUGGAGGAUUCCGAUCUUCCCAUCCACGGCGAGGCAGAGGUAGAGGUGGGAAUCACGCACCACGGCGGCCGGGAACGCCAUGGCCGCUGCUUGAUGUGGGGCCUGGGCAGGGAGAGGGUGAGGGCAGCGGCGGCGGGGGUGGGCGGUGGAUGGGGGCGGCCAUGUCGGAGGGAGAGGGGAACGAGAUGCAGACGGCUGCCCCUGGAGACGGGAGACGAGGUAGGGGCUAGUGAGGGAUAUAGACAGAGGGAGUCCACCGGAU
rnacentral:lncRNA from 1 species